rnacentral:rRNA from 1 species
GUAGUCUCGCACAGAUGCAUAUCAAUAAGCGGAGGAAAAGAAACUAACAAGGAUUCCCCUAGUAACGGCGAGUGAAGCGGGAAGAGCUCAAAUUUGAAAUCUUAAAGGGUUUCCCUUUACGAAUUGUAGUUUAAAGAAGUGUUUUCUGUUGAGGUUUUGGUAAAAGUUCUUUGGGAUAGGACAUCAUAGAGGGUGAGAAUCCCGUAUUUGACCUUUACUUUCAACUUUGUGAUACACUUUCAAAGAGUCGGAUUGUUUGGGAAUGCAGUCCAAAAUGGGUGGUAAAUUUCAUCUAAAGCUAAAUAUUGGCGAGAGACCGAUAGCGAACAAGUACCGUGAGGAAAGAUGAAAAGAACUUUGAAAAGAGAGUUAAACAGUACGUGAAAUUGUCAAAAGGGAAGCGUUUGACACCAGUGUUGUUUUUCUGAAAAUCAAUUAAAGAACUGUUUAUGCUAAGUUGUUUAGACUUUAUCAGCUAACUGUUUAGUUUUGAGCUUUUCUUUAAUGCACUUUUCAGUUAACAAGUCAACAUCAAUUUCUUUUGCUGUAAAAAAGCUUGAGGAAGGUGGCUUGAGAUUCGUCUUAAGUGUUUAUAGCCUCUUGCCUAUGCAGUCGGAGAGAUUGAGGUCUGCAGCGUAGAUCCUUCGGGGCUAAAUGCAUUUGUGCUAAGUUAUAGCAUUUUAUAGACAACUUGUUGACUAUGAUUUGUCUUGUAGCUUACUCGCUUAUGUUAUUUUACCUACGCUUAGGAUGUUGAUCUGUAGUGCGUGCGC